rnacentral:rRNA from 1 species
UACGGAGGGGGCUAGCGUUGUUCGGAAUUACUGGGCGUAAAGCGCACGUAGGCGGCUUUGUAAGUUAGAGGUGAAAGCCCAGGGCUUAACCCUGGAAUUGCCUUUAAGACUGCAUCGCUAGAAUCGUGGAGAAGUGAGUGGAAUUCCGAGUGUAGAGGUGAAAUUCGUAGAUAUUCGCAAGAACACCAGUGGCGAAGGCGGCUCACUGGCCCGAUACUGACGCUGAGGCACGAAAGCGUGGGGAGCAAACAGG